rnacentral:rRNA from 1 species
AUGAACGCUGGCGGCGUGCCUAAUACAUGCAAGUCGAGCGAACAGAUGAGGAGCUUGCUCCUCUGACGUUAGCGGCGGACGGGUGAGUAACACGUGGAUAACCUACCUAUAAGACUGGGAUAACUUCGGGAAACCGGAGCUAAUACCGGAUAAUAUAUUGAACCGCAUGGUUCAAUAGUGAACGACGGUUUUGCUGUCACUUAUAGAUGGAUCCGCGCCGCAUUAGCUAGUUGGUAAGGUAACGGCUUACCAAGGCAACGAUGCGUAGCCGACCUGAGAGGGUGAUCGGCCACACUGGAACUGAGACACGGUCCAGACUCCUACGGGAGGCAGCAGUAGGGAAUCUUCCGCAAUGGGCGAAAGCUUGACGGAGCAACGCCGCGUGAGUGAUGAAGGUCUUCGGAUCGUAAAACUCUGUUAUUAGGGAAGAACAAAUGUGUAAGUAACUAUGCACGUCUUGACGGUACCUAAUCAGAAAGCCACGGCUAACUACGUG